rnacentral:rRNA from 1 species
GCAGUAGCCGCGGUAAUACAGAGGGUGCGAGCGUUAAUCGGAUUUACUGGGCGUAAAGCGUGCGUAGGCGGCUUCUUAAGUCGGAUGUGAAAUCCCUGAGCUUAACUUAGGAAUUACAUUCGAUACUGGGAAGCUAGAGUAUGGGAGAGGAUGGUAGAAUUCCAGGUGUAGCGGUGAAAUGCGUAGAGAUCUGGAGGAAUACCGAUGGCGAAGGCAGCCAUCUGGCCUAAUACUGACGCUGAGGUACGAAAGCAUGGGGAGCAAACAGGAUUAGAUACCCGAGUAGUCCCUGUCUCUUAUAC